GUUUGAUCCUGGCUCAGGAUUAACGCUGGCGGCGGCCUAACCCAUGCAAGUCGUACGAUCCAGUAGCAAUAUUGGAGAGUGGCGAAGGGUGAGUAACACGUUGGUGAUCUGCCUCGUCGCAGGGAACAACAGCCGAAAGGAUUGCUAAUACCCAAAAGGAUCGGCAGUUCGUUCUGUUGAUAGAGUCGAAAGGCGUGACGAGAGGAGCCUGCGGCCCAUCAGCUGGUUGGGGGGUAACGGCCCACCAAGGCAACGACGGGUAGGGGGUCUGAGAGGAUGCCCCCCACACUGGAACUGAAACACGGUCCAGACGCCUACGGGUGGCAGCGGGAGGAAUAUUGGGCAAUGGGCGAAAGCCUGACCCAGCAACGCCGCGUGAGGAUGAAGGCCUUCGGGUCGUAAACUUCUUUUGCAGGAGAAGAGAAAGACGGUAUCCCGCGAAUAAGCCACGGCUAACUACGUGCCAGCAGCCGCGUAAAACGUAGGUGGCGAGCGUUAUCCGGAUUUACUGGGCGUAAAGCGCUGUAGGCGGUUCUGUAAGUUGGGCGUGAAAGCCCCGGGCUUAACUCGGGGGGCCGUUCAAUACUGCAGGGCUGGAGGAUGUCAGAGGGAGAUGGAAUUCUGGUGUAGCAGUGAAAUGCGUAGAUAUCAGGAGGAACACCCGUGGCGAAGCGGUCUCCUGGGGCAUUCCUGACGCUGAGAAGCGAAAGCCAGGGGAGCAACGGGAUUAGAAACCCCGGUAGUCCUGGCCGUAAACGAUGGAUGCUAGUGUUGGCAGAUCUAACCCUGUCAGUGCCAAAGCUAACGCGUUAAGCAUCCGCCUGGGAACUACGAGCGCAAGCUUAAAACUCAAAUGAAUUGACGGGG
rnacentral:rRNA from 1 species